rnacentral:rRNA from 1 species
CCUACGGGUGGCAGCAGUGGGGAAUAUUGGGCAAUGGGCGCAAGCCUGACCCAGCAACGCCGCGUGAAGGAAGAAGGCUUUCGGGUUGUAAACUUCUUUUAAGAGGGAAGAGCAGAAGACGGUACCUCUUGAAUAAGCCACGGCUAACUACGUGCCACCAGCCGCGGUAAUACGUAGGUGGCAAGGGUAGUCCGGAUUUACUGGGUGUAAAGGGCGUGCAGCCGGGAAGGCAAGUCUGAAGUGAAAUCCAGGGGCUCAACCGCGGAACUGCAUUUGAAACUGUUAUUCUUGAGUGCCGGCGAGGUAAUCGGAAUUCCUUGUGUAGCGGUGAAAUGCGUAGAUAUAAGGAAGAACACCAGUGGCGAAGGCGGAUGACUGGACGGCAACUGACGGUGAGGCGCGAAAGCGUGGGGAGCAAACAGGAUUAGAUACCCUAGUAGUC